ensembl:lncRNA
CGGAGUUCCGGGAGCCGGGGAGGCCGGCGGAGGUUCAGGGGCCGGGGUGACCGGCGGAGGUUCAGGGGCCGGGGUGACCGGCGGGGGUUCAGGGGCCGGGGUGACCGGCGGAGGUUCAGGGGCCGGGGUGACCGGCGGGGGUUCAGGGGCCGGGGUGACCGGCGGGGUGUCAGGAGCCGGGGUGACCGGCGGGGUGUCAGGAGCCGGGGUGACCGGCGGGGUGUCAGGAGCCGGGGUGACCGGCGGGGUGUCAGGAGCCGGGGAGGCCGGCGAAGGUUCGGGAGCCAGAGUGACCGGGGGAGGACCGGAAGCCAGGGGAGGACCGGCGGCCGGGGGAGCCGGCGAAGGUCUAUGACUCGGCUGAGGAUCAGGGGCCGGCUGAGGGUCAGGGGCCGGCUGAGGGCCAGGGGCCGGCUGAGGGCCAGGGGCCGGCUGAGGGCCAGGGGCCGGCUGAGGGCCAGGAGCCAGGAGAGCCGGCUGAGGGCCAGGAGCCAGGAGAGCCGGCUGAGGGCCAGGAGCCAGGAGAGCCGGCGGAGGGCCAGGAGCCGGGAGAGCCGGCGGAGGGCCAGGAGCCGGGAAAUCCGGCGGAGGGCCAGGAGCCGGGAGAGCCGGCGGAGGGCCAGGAGCCGGGAGAGCCGGCGGAGGGCCAGGAGCCGGGAGAGCCGGCGGAGGGCCAGGAGCCGGGAGAGCCGGCGGAGGGCCAGGAGCCGGGAGAGCCGGCGGAGGGCCAGGAGCCGGGAGAGCCGGCGGAGGGUCAGAGGCCGGGAGAGCCGACGGAGGGUCGGGGACCGGCUGAGGAUCCGGCUGAGGAUCCGGCUGAGGAUCCGGCGGAGGACCAGACGGAGGACCAGACGGAGGACCAGACGGAGGACCAGACGGAGGA